rnacentral:tRNA from 1 species
GCGGGCAUGGCGGAAUUUGGUAGACGCGCACGAUUCAGGUUCGUGUGAUAUUAUCAUGCAGGUUCGAGUCCUGUUGCCCGCACCA